rnacentral:rRNA from 1 species
GACGUAGGGGGCCAGCGUUGCUCGGAAUUACUGGGCGUAAAGGGUUCGUAGGCGGUGCGGCAAGUCGGGAGUGAAAUCUCUGGGCUUAACUCAGGGGCUGCUUCCGAAACUGCCGUGCUUGAGUGCGGGAGAGGCGAGUGGAAUUGCAGGUGUAGCGGUGAAAUGCGUAGAUAUCUGCAGGAACACCCGUGGCGAAGGCGGCUCGCUGGACCGCAACUGACGCUGAGACGCGAAAGCGUGGGGAGCAAACAGG